rnacentral:lncRNA from 1 species
UGGCCGUUAUUCACUUCCUUUUAGAGGUCUUGUUUCUUCCUUUCAUGCUACCAAGGCAGGUGCUCUACCUGCUUGUUGUUUGGAGAGGAAUCCAUCAAUCAAAGAACCCAAGGAAGGAGUAAACCACUAAAGUCGAUCCUUGAUGCCACAAUAAUCUCCUCCUCCCAUGUGCCAUCCCUUCUGUAAAGAGGUGAAAUUCCAAAGGAGCUAUAUUGACAUGAGUUGACAGUGCUCUUAGCAUAAUACUGGAGGAAGAAAAUAAGAAUGGUAACUAGAUUGAUGGUGUCCAUCUUGAUGGGCUAGAUGGUGGUUGUGUAAAGAAACAGUAUGAGGGGCCACACACUUUGAUUGAUUUGCUGGUCCUCUUUUGGUGGGUGGGUGACACUACCUUUUCCAACCUUAGAUCAUAAGCCAGCUCGC